rnacentral:rRNA from 1 species
CUACUAAAUGGUGAUUUCAACAUCAUUUACGAGGCUCGCGACAAAAACAACAGUAAUAUAAAUAGGAGGAUCAUGGGUAAGUUUAGGGCGGCAAUUGACGCCGGUGGCCUGCGCGAGAUCAAAUGCAAAAAUAGGCGUUCCACUUGGAGUAGCGAGCGUCAGGAUCCAACCCUAGCGAGCAUAGACAAGUUUUUCUGCACCAUCAAGUGGGAGGUCAUGUUCCCAGAUUUCAUGCUGCACGCGGCGUCCACCUCAUGCUCGGAUCACUGCUCGCUGCUUCUAGCUGCUGUUGCUGCCCCA